rnacentral:rRNA from 1 species
UGGGGAAUAUUGCACAAUGGGCGAAAGCCUGAUGCAGCAACGCCGCGUGAGUGAUGAAGGCCUUCGGGUUGUAAAGCUCUGUCUUUUGGGACGAUAAUGACGGUACCAAAGGAGGAAGCCACGGCUAACUACGUGCCAGCAGCCGCGGUAAUACGUAGGUGGCAAGCGUUGUCCGGAAUUACUGGGCGUAAAGAAUGCGUAGGUGGAUAUGCAAGUCAGAUGUGAAAAUCCCGGGCUUAACUUGGGAACUGCAUUUGAAACUGGGUAUCUAGAGUGCGGGAGAGGAAAGUGGAAUUCCUAGUGUAGCGGUGAAAUGCGUAGAGAUUAGGAAGAACACCAGUGGCGAAGGCGACUUUCUGGACCGUAACUGACGCUGAGGCACGAAAGCGUGGGUAGCAAACA